GAAAUGGGACCAGCGUGGCGUGUUCAGUUUUGGUCUGUGGGAGGUGUGCACUGGUGUCAGAUUUGUGGGGUGUGUUACAAUUGACACCACUACAGAUAGUUUAUUAGCAUGCCGUGCUUUUGCUCUGCUAGCCAUGAUAUUUGGAGUUGUGUCGGUCGCUCUCUCGUUUCUCUUCAUAUUCCAGCAGGCUAGGGGAAGUGACCCAAACAAGUUAUUCCCCAUGAUUUCUGCUGCUUGUGGGACAGCUACUGUCGUCUGUAUCAUCAUUUGUGUGAUCGUCUGGAUGUCCGAACUUCACAACGCGAACACGGACAUGGGCUACUCCUUUAUCCUGACCUGUUUUGGGGGCUUUCUGGUGCUCGUGGGGGCCGUUUUAUCUUUUGCCAGUUGUCAGGGCACCGGAUACCAACUCAUUGGCUAAUUUUUUUUUUACCAAAAAAAAAAAAGUUAAAAAAAACAAAUCUCAUACAGCGUUGAAUUCAAGUCAUCGCCUAAUUUAAAAAAAAAAAAAAACCUCCUAUACCGAGUUCUUUAUCCUGCUGAAAUUUAGAUUUAGAAAUUUUUUACUUAAUUGUUUGCAAAUGUUUACAUAAGUCUAUUCAUUCAGUUUGAUUUAUUGUUUUAUAUUUUUUUUUACAUGUUUCUAUACAUUUAUACACUCUACAGAAAAUAUCA